rnacentral:rRNA from 1 species
CAAUAGCGUAUAUUAAAGUUGUUGCAGUUAAAAAGCUCGUAGUUGGAUUUGUGGCGUACGGUGUGUUCCGGGCACUUGUUGUCUGAGUAACCUGCUGUUGCCAUCCUUGGGUGGAACCUGUGCGGCAUUAGGUUGUCGUGCAGGGGAUGCCCAUCAUUUACUGUGAAAAAAUUAGAGUGUUCAAAGCAGGCUUAUGCCGUUGAAUAUAUUAGCAUGGAAUAAUGAGAUAGGACUUUUUUGCUAUUUUGUUGGUUUGCGCAAAGAGGUAAUGAUUAAUAGGGACAGUUGGGGGUAUUCGUAUUCCAUUGUCAGAGGUGAAAUUCUUGGAUUUUUGGAAGACGAACUACUGCGAAAGCAUUUACCAAGGAUGUUUUCAUUAA